rnacentral:rRNA from 1 species
GAUGAACGCUAGCGGCAGGCUUAACACAUGCAAGUCGAGGGGUAUAGUAGCAAUACUAGAGACCGGCGCACGGGUGCGUAACGCGUAUGCAACCUACCUUUUACAGAGGGAUAGCCCAGAGAAAUUUGGAUUAAUACCUCAUAGUGUUAUUAGAUGGCAUCAUUUGAUAACUAAAGUUCCAACGGUAAAGAUGGGCAUGCGUCCUAUUAGCUAGAUGGUAAGGUAACGGCUUACCAUGGCUACGAUAGGUAGGGGUCCUGAGAGGGAGAUCCCCCACACUGGUACUGAGACACGGACCAGACUCCUACGGGAGGCAGCAGUGAGGAAUAUUGGACAAUGGGCGCAAGCCUGAUCCAGCCAUGCCGCGUGCAGGAAGAAGUCAUCUAUGGUGUGUAAAACUGCUUUUGUACGGGAAGAAACACUCCUACGUGUAGGAGCUUGACGGGUACCCGUAAGAAUAAGGAUCGGCUAAACUCCGUGCCAG